AUAAUGGGUCAGCGACUUAUAUUCUGUAGCAAGGUUAACCGAAUAGGGGAGCCGAAGGGAAACCGAGUCUUAACUGGGCGUUAAGUUGCAGGGUAUAGACCCGAAACCCGGUGAUCUAGCCAUGGGCAGGUUGAAGGUUGGGUAACACUAACUGGAGGACCGAACCGACUAAUGUUGAAAAAUUAGCGGAUGACUUGUGGCUGGGGGUGAAAGGCCAAUCAAACCGGGAGAUAGCUGGUUCUCCCCGAAAGCUAUUUAGGUAGCGCCUCGUGAAUUCAUCUCCGGGGGUAGAGCACUGUUUCGGCAAGGGGGUCAUCCCGACUUACCAACCCGAUGCAAACUGCGAAUACCGGAGAAUGUUAUCACGGGAGACACACGGCGGGUGCUAACGUCCGUCGUGAAGAGGGAAACAACCCAGACCGCCAGCUAAGGUCCCAAAGUCAUGGUUAAGUGGGAAACGAUGUGGGAAGGCCCAGACAGCCAGGAUGUUGGCUUAGAAGCAGCCAUCAUUUAAAGAAAGCGUAAUAGCUCACUGGUCGAGUCGGCCUGCGCGGAAGAUGUAACGGGGCUAAACCAUGCACCGAAGCUGCGGCAGCGACGCUUAUGCGUUGUUGGGUAGGGGAGCGUUCUGUAAGCCUGUGAAGGUGUACUGUGAGGUAUGCUGGAGGUAUCAGAAGUGCGAAUGCUGACAUAAGUAACGAUAAAGCGGGUGAAAAGCCCGCUCGCCGGAAGACCAAGGGUUCCUGUCCAACGUUAAUCGGGGCAGGGUGAGUCGACCCCUAAGGCGAGGCCGAAAGGCGUAGUCGAUGGGAAACAGGUUAAUAUUCCUGUACUUGGUGUUACUGCGAAGGGGGGACGGAGAAGGCUAUGUUGGCCGGGCGACGGUUGUCCCGGUUUAAGCGUGUAGGCUGGUUUUCCAGGCAAAUCCGGAAAAUCAAGGCUGAGGCGUGAUGACGAGGCACUACGGUGCUGAAGCAACAAAUGCCCUGCUUCCAGGAAAAGCCUCUAAGCAUCAGGUAACAUCAAAUCGUACCCCAAACCGACACAGGUGGUCAGGUAGAGAAUACCAAGGCGCUUGAGAGAACUCGGGUGAAGGAACUAGGCAAAAUGGUGCCGUAACUUCGGGAGAAGGCACGCUGAUAUGUAGGUGAAGUCCCUCGCGGAUGGAGCUGAAAUCAGUCGAAGAUACCAGCUGGCUGCAACUGUUUAUUAAAAACACAGCACUGUGCAAACACGAAAGUGGACGUAUACGGUGUGACGCCUGCCCGGUGCCGGAAGGUUAAUUGAUGGGGU
rnacentral:rRNA from 1 species